ensembl:lncRNA
AAGCUGAUAAAGUGCAGCAUCAGAGCAGAAGAAGCACAGAGUGGAUGAAGGUCUGGAGCAGAAGUGAUGGAGUUCAGAGCCAACCAAUGACCAUCAGAGAUAGAAACCUGAUCAUUAGUAACUUUACAGCCAGAGACACAGGAUCAUACAGAGUUCUGGACCCUUCAGGAGAAACCUUGAUCACAGUGACAGUCAGAGAAUCAGGUACAGAAUCAAAGAGAAAGCUGGAAACAAAUGAUGACAAACCUAAUGCUCUUUGGAUUUGUCUUUUGGCUUUUGUACUGACUGUAUGUCUGUGUUUUUGGUUCUGGUGGUUCUGGAAGUGUUAUCGUUUCGAGUCAUCAAUAAAAUAUCAGCGUCUGCACAGAAAUGUGGAACAUGGAUCAAAAGGGUCUCAAUUCAAUAAACUGUAAAAGUGUCCCAGAACAUCAGCAUCACUGGUUACUUGAAGUCACUUACAAACUAAAGAGCCACUGCAUCAAAGAUUCAGAACACAAUCUGUGCUGAAAUGUGCUCCUCAGACUUAGACUGAAAUUACAUUCGUCUUCUAUAUUACCUCGCUGUAAAUGUGAAGUUUCUGAUCAUUAAAUACAUGCAAAUCUAUGUUGUCAUGUGUUAAUGUAUCCUGGUUUAUGAUGUCAGUGAUUGUUUUUCCAGCUUAAUUUUAGCAUUUAAUUUAUAUAGGGUACAGUAAAUAUUGUUAAUUCAUCAAAAGCAUGUGCCAGAAGCUUUUCAUAGAGCUUAACUUAUAUAUAAAAAAGGAAUAUUCAUAAUCAUAAACUCUCAAAUCACUGCACUAUAAGCCAAGUGUCUAAUGUAGACGUACUGUACAUCCAGCAGGCUAUUAAAAACUACAUUAGGAAAUCAUUUAAUACGGUAAAUCUAGGGAGGGGUGCAACUCUUGAACUGGUAUGAGGCUCUUGAAAGGAUCUAUUCUGAUAAGAUUUAAAUGAUGACGUGUUUUAAACUCUAAAGAAGAAUUUAGAAAUGACGUUUCUUCUGUUUGUGGCUUCAGAUAAGUCACGCGAAAUGUUCAGAUCUAACAGCUUAUCUGAGAUCAGAUUUUACUGUCUGCUUCAUCAUGAUCACGAAGAAACAGAAAACAGACCUUCCUUUAUAAUUCUUAAAUUCAUAUGCAAGUUAUUCGACAAAUAAUUCACAAAAUCAUGUCAAAUCAGAAUCAUUUUCCGACAGCUCAGUGUGCUUUAAAAGAAUAGCCACUAAUGAUGCAUCACACUAUUCUUUAGCAGGAGGCACUAAAUAUUCCAUGUUACUUUCAGUUUUGUUUUAACUCAACUCUUGCUAAACCUGCUGGUUUGCAAAACAUUAAGACUCAAGUAAAAUGUUCACUAUCUAUGUUUUAAUAAGUGGUUCAACGGAUCACAAAUCUCAUGGUUUGGAUCACAUUACAGUUUUUGACCCACAGAUCGAGUCAUUUUUUGGAUUAGCAAGAAAAUAAAAUUAUUUCAGUUUAACUUGCUUCA